rnacentral:rRNA from 1 species
GACGAACGCUGGCGGCGUGCUUAACACAUGCAAGUCGAACGGAAAGGCCCUGCUUUUGUGGGGUGCUCGAGUGGCGAACGGGUGAGUAACACGUGAGUAACCUGCCCUUGACUUUGGGAUAACUUCAGGAAACUGGGGCUAAUACCGGAUAGGAGCUCCUGCUGCAUGGUGGGGGUUGGAAAGUUUCGGCGGUUGGGGAUGGACUCGCGGCUUAUCAGCUUGUUGGUGGGGUAGUGGCUUACCAAGGCUUUGACGGGUAGCCGGCCUGAGAGGGUGACCGGCGACAUUGGGAGUGAGAUAAGGCCGAGAAGCCUACUGGGGGCAGCAGUGGGGGAGAAUGUAGCACGGGGGGGAGCAGGAUGCAGCAGCGCCGCGGGGGGGAUGAUGGCGGCCGGGGGGUAGAAAGCCGUUGCCGGCGGUGACGAGGGGGGGGUGGCAGUGGUGAAUAAAGAAGCGGCGGCUAACUAG